CCUGCCAGUAGUCAUAUGCUUGUCUUAAAGAUUAAGCCAUGCAUGUCUAAGUAUAAGCCCUAGCAAGGCGAGACUGCGAAUGGCUCAUUAAAUCAGUUAUAGUUUAUUUGACCGUAACAUCCACAUGGAUAACUGUGGUAAUUCUAGAGCUAAUACAUGCAAAACACCCAAACUUCACGGACUGGGCGUAUUUAUUAGAAACAAAACCAAACUAGGGGAGACCCUAGCAAAAUGGCGAGUCAUGAUAACUUCUCGGACCGCACAACCACGCGUUGGCGGCGUUUCAUGCAAAUAUCUGCUCUAUCAACUUGAUGGUAGUGUCGUGGACUACCAUGGUCGUGACGGAUAACGGGACAUCGGGGUGUGGUUCCGGAGAGGUCGCCUGAAAGACAGCGACCACUUCUAAGGAAGGCAGCAGGCGCGAAAAUUACCCAAUCCUGACACAGGGAGGUAGUGACAAGAAAUAACAAUACAGGCUCCGAUGAGGAGCUUGUAAUUGGAAUGGGUGAAAUUUAAAUCCCUCAACGAGGAACUAUUGGAGGACAAGUCUGGUGCCAGCACCCGCGGUAAUUCCAGCUCCAAUAGCGUAUAUUAAAGUUGUUGCGGUUAAAAAGCUCGUAGUUUGAACUCGGCAGUCUUGCAGCUUGGUCGGUCAGGUUGACUUGUACCAAGACGCGUCUGCCCACGCUGGAGGCUUUCCGCUAUUCUUAAAUGAAUGGUGGGCCAAAGGCCUCUAGCUAUUUACCUUGAGUAACUGAGAGUGUUUAAAGCAGGCGAAUUUCGCCUUGAAUUUCAUUAGCAUGGGAUAAUAGAAUAGGAGCGCAGUCCUGUUUGUUGGUUUAGGGAUUGCGCUAAUGAUAAAUGGGAAUGGUUGGGGUGGCCCAUAUUUAAUUGUCAGAGGUGAAAUUCUUGGAUUCAUUAAGGAUGAACUUGUGCGAAAGCGUUUCACAAGGACGUUUUCAUCGAUCAAGAACGAAAGUUGGGGGAUCGAAGACGAUCAGAUACCGUCGUAGUCUCAACUAUAAACUAUACCGACCAGGGAUUGGCUGAUGUUAACAUGGAUGACUCAGCCAGGACCUCCCGAGAAAUCACAAGUGUUUGGGUUCCGGGGGGAGUAUGGUCGCAAGACUGAAACUUAAAGGAAUUGACGGAAAGGCACACAAGGAGUGGAGCCUGCGGCUUAAUUUGACUCAACACGGGGAAACUCACCAGGUCCAGACA
rnacentral:rRNA from 1 species